GACGAACGCUGGCGGCGUGCCUAAUACAUGCAAGUUGAGCGCUGAAGGUUGGUACUUGUACCAACUGGAUGAGCAGCGAACGGGUGAGUAACGCGUGGGGGAUCUGCCUUUGAGCGGGGGACAACAUUUGGAAACGAAUGCUAAUACCGCAUAAAAACUUUAAACACAAGUUUUAAGUUUGAAAGAUGCAAUUGCAUCACUCAAAGAUGAUCCCGCGUUGUAUUAGCUAGUUGGUGAGGUAAAGGCUCACCAAGGCGAUGAUACAUAGCCGACCUGAGAGGGUGAUCGGCCACAUUGGGACUGAGACACGGCCCAAACUCCUACGGGAGGCAGCAGUAGGGAAUCUUCGGCAAUGGACGAAAGUCUGACCGAGCAACGCCGCGUGAGUGAAGAAGGUUUUCGGAUCGUAAAACUCUGUUGGUAGAGAAGAACGUUGGUGAGAGUGGAAAGCUCAUCAAGUGACGGUAACUACCCAGAAAGGGACGGCUAACUACAUG
rnacentral:rRNA from 1 species